rnacentral:tRNA from 1 species
AGCCGCACAUUUCUAAGUGGCGCAGAAGGGGAUUGAAAAUCCCCGUGUCGGGGGUUCGAUUCCCUCCCCGGCCACCA